rnacentral:rRNA from 1 species
UACGUAGGGUGCAAGCGUUGUCCGGAAUUAUUGGGCGUAAGAGCUCGUAGGCGGUCCGUCACGUCGGCUGUGAAAACCCGGGGCUCAACUCCGGGCCUGCAGUCGAUACGGGCGGACUAGAGUAUGGCAGGGGAGACUGGAAUUCCUGGUGUAGCGGUGAAAUGCGCAGAUAUCAGGAGGAACACCGGUGGCGAAGGCGGGUCUCUGGGCCAUAACUGACGCUGAGGAGCGAAAGCGUGGGGAGCGAACAGG